UACAGGGGGUGCAAACGUUGCUCGGAAUCAUUGGGCGUAAAGCGCACGUAGGCGGUCUGUUAUGUCGGAUGUGAAAGCCCUUGGCUCAACUGAGGAAGUGCAUCCGAAACUGGCAGGCUAGAGUACUAAAGAGGGUCGCGGAAUUCCCGGUGUAGAGGUGAAAUUCGUAGAUAUCAGGAAGAACACCCGUGGCGAAGGCGGCUCUCUGGGACGGUACUGACGCUGAGACGCGAAAGCGUGGGGAGCGAACAGG
rnacentral:rRNA from 1 species